UGGACGGGCUGUGUGUUUCUCUCAUCACUCUCUUGUGUGCUGUUUCCUCCAGUCAGGAUGGGAUCUCUGCAGCAGAGGUGGAGCUGAGAGUCAGACCAGGAGACAACAUCACUCUCUAUAGUGACUGUAGAACAACAAGUGAAAUGUACACAGUCUGGUUCAGGAAUUGUUCUCAUGAGCACCAGCCUCCUCUUGUUAUUACAUAUUAUAACCGUUUGUCAUCUCAUUUCCUCAAUCCUCUCCCUCGGUAUACAAUGUUCUGGAACCACUAUAACAUGUCCUAUGAUCUACUGAUUGAGAACAUCACUGAAUCUGACCUGGGACUCUACUACUGUGGGACUAUAGAGAGAAAUAUGGAGAAUGAGCAACGUAUUGAACAGACAAAUGUCUACCACUAUGGACAUGUCAUGAGAAGGCUUUCAUUUGAUGCCAGAACACCUGAUGUAGACUGUGGUCUGUGUUGGAUGUUGCUGUUCAGUCUGUGUCCUGUGUCUGCUCUCCUCUCCUCUCUCCUCUCCUCUGCCUGUGUCUACUCCUUCUGCAGAACAACAGCUCCAACUGAGACUCAGGUUCCUCUGAACAGGACGACCACCAGGG
ensembl:lncRNA